CCUUUGCAAUCUUCUCUCCAAUCGUCAACCAAGCUCAAUAUGAUCUUCUUACAUCUAUAAUGAGUAACCCGACUUCGUCGUCAUCAUAUAAACAUUGUAACUCUCAUAUUUGAAAACCAAUAUUCUAACAAAAAAACAGACAACACCUUCCCUGUUUUUACUACAUCCCAUAAAUUAUUAAAAGUCACCAAACAGCCCAAACAACAACAAUAUAAUACACAACAAACUCUCUGAUUACUUCAACAACCAUUUUGAGUGGCAAGCUCGAUUUACACUUAACAAAAUAUAAAUUAAUCCAAUCCUUUUUCCAUGAAUCUGCCUACAACUUGUAUAACAUCAUGCUUAUGCUUACCAUAUCAUUUUCAUCCCAAAACAUCUAAGAAUAAUCUUCAAAAAUAGUCCACACGCCUAAUACCUUAACCUUUAUCGUCAACCUCUUGUUUUUCAUGUUACCUUCUUCAAUCCACUGAAUUAGUACAUAGAUAAGCUUAACAACAGCAGCCACAACAUAAUCAAACAAUUUAUAACAAUUUUCAGCCAUAACCAACCAUAUAUAUAGCCUCAACACAGCCCACAAAAAAGAUAAAGAUUCCUUAUGCCAUGUCAAUUACUAUCUUGAAGAUUUUAACUCAAACAACAUAUGAUUAACCUUAAGCACAACCAAGAAUAUGAUUUACAUACCUUAGGCAGUAGAUACAACUUGAAAUUUCAGCCAUAACAACAUAUAUAUUUAUAUCCUUAAAAUAACCCAACAAAAGAUAACAACUCUUCCCCUUUCAAGUGUUAUCUUGUAAUCUUCAUCCAAUAACUUAACCAACACAUAGAUAAGAUUAAUCCCAAGAAAUAGGAUGUUAUACAUACCUUAAAGAAUCUGUAAAAACUUGAACCAAAGCUUCCCUUAUCAUACAACCACACUUAAUCACAUCACGACACCAUAGAGAUUCUCUUCUUCACGUAGGCUAACUUUUGAUGUUUGAUUAUGGUCUAUUCCUUUGGAAUUUGGUUGGAGCCUUUAGGGAGCUGUUUGGGAGGGUUUGGAG
rnacentral:lncRNA from 1 species